UGGGGAAUAUUGCACAAUGGGCGCAAGCCUGAUGCAGCCAUGCCGCGUGUAUGAAGAAGGCCUUCGGGUUGUAAAGUACUUUCAGCGGGGAGGAAGGGAGUAAAGUUAAUACCUUUGCUCAUUGACGUUACCCGCAGAAGAAGCACCGGCUAACUCCGUGCCAGCAGCCGCGGUAAUACGGAGGGUGCAAGCGUUAAUCGGAAUUACUGGGCGUAAAGCGCACGCAGGCGGUUUGUUAAGUCAGAUGUGAAAUCCCCGGGCUCAACCUGCGAACGGCAUCUGAUAGUGGCAAGUUUUAGUCUCGUAGAGGGGGGUAGAAUUCAAGGUGGAGCGGUGAAAUGCGUAGAGAUCUGGAGGAAUACCGGUGGCGAAGGCGGCCCCCUGGACGACGACUGACGCUCAGGUGCGAAAGCGUGGGGAGCAAACAGG
rnacentral:rRNA from 1 species